rnacentral:lncRNA from 1 species
CAGGAAUGUUACGUUUAUAAAAGAGGGUAAAUUAUUAUUCUUUAUAAAAUUAUUAGUAAAUGUAAAGUUGAUAUGCCCCGUAAAGGGCAUUUUUUUGUAGUCAAUACGUCUGUCCGGUCAUUUCAGGGUUUGAUUAAGGGUAUUUAUAAGUUUCACUUUCAUUUAGUAAUCCUGAAGUAUUGAGGUGGUCAUAUUAAUUGCUAAUGUAGUACCAAAACUUCCCGUCCUAUGAACUUUUUUUAAAUAGUUGCCUUCUUUUGCGAUACACUAAACGUAGUAAUUAUAUACUGUUAGCUUUGUAUGGUCUACUAAACAGCUAUUUACAAAUUUUCUGUGUUCAUAAAAUUUCAAAAGCACUAACUUAACUAUUACAUAUUUUACAAUUAACUAAUAAUAGAUGAAUAUAGAUUAUACAUGGCAUGAUGCUAUAAUGGUUUACUUUUAUAAAUUGUAACUUGAAUGGAGGGUUUUCUCAUUGGCACUCAUACAACAUCUUCCUAUAUCUAACUAUAAUUCAUUAAUUACAAGUAUUGUUUAUUAUAAGUCUUUUGUAGACGAAACGCGCGUCUGGCGCAAUUAAGAAAAUCAAUCCUAGUAUCUAUGAUGAGUUAAUCUGACAUAGACUCCAAAUAUAUUAAUCCCUAUUCAAUAUAACCCUUUAUCAUAACUGACCCAAUAUUUUUGUUAAAUUUGUUUUCGAUCUGAAUUUGCUUACGAUGUGUCUCAUGAAAUUACAUAAUUUAUCUUCUAACGACAAGAUAUAUAUCAGUAACUUCCUGGUUUGAAUGGUAUGUUUAUUUAACGAUUAUAACAUGCUGUACAUACAAAAUACAUUGUUGUUAUAUUUUAUGCAUAAGCAAAUGUAGACAUUUCUAUGGAUAGUUUCCGUUAUACUAAUUUACCUUAAUUUACUGAAGUUACACGUUACUGAUAUAAAAUGGGCCAUUCCAGUUUAUUUCUGACAGGUGAGGAUGGAUGGCGAGAAUUCUUUUUUAUAUGUAUCAGAAAAAAACAUCGAAAAACUACCUAUCAAAUCUAACAAUUACACCUAUCAGAUAUAUUUCUGUUCAUAUUGGCUGGAUGGGCUUGCAUUGCGAAAAACAUAUCAAUUUUUUUUUAACUGCAAUGAUUGUACCGGACACUUUAACCUGUCAGAAGAUACCUUCCAUCACUGGUAAACUUUCAUUUAGUACAUAAUAUAUGACUAGUGCAUCUACCAUGAUAAAAUAUUUUUUCUUAAGAAUAUGAUGAAAUGUAGAAAACAUUUUAUUCAUUUUUUCAAACAUAAAUACUGCAUAUAUUAUUUGUUUAUAUAUCAUCCAAUUAAACUCAAAUACAUUCAUGUUUUUCUAUAAUGAGUGUUAACAAAUGUUAUAAUACAUAAAUUGUCAGGAAAACAUAGGUGCUUUUGUAAAAAUAUCCAUUCACUGUAUUGUGGACAAAGGAGGGACGAAAUAUACCAAAGGGACAGUCAAACUCAUAAAUCUAAAACAAACUGACAACGCAAUGGCUAAAAAUGAAAAAGACAAACAAACAACAGCACACACGACACAACAUAGAAAACUAAAGAAUAAACAACACGAACCCCACCAAAAAACUAGGGGUGAUCUCAGGUGCUCCGGAAGGGUAAGCAGAUACUGCUCCACAUGCGGCACCCGUCAUGUUGCUUAUGUGAUAACAAAUCCGGUAAAUAGUAUAAUUCGGUAGGUCACAUUCAUGAAAGGGAAGGGGAUUGUAGUUACGACGUAAGGAACAUAUCCGAUAUCAUUUGUGAAACGGUUAUUCCAUAACGGUCAACCAACUCGUGAUGGCGUCCGUAAAAUUUACGAAGGGAUGAUUUCAACUUCACCAUUUGGAACUCUUGGUUUAAUAGCUUCCUUGUGAGCAGCAACCCUCUAUCAAGAAAAUCAUGAUAGGAAAUGCAAGCACGGGAAUAUCGUAUCAAUUGGGAGAUAUAUAUACCCCGUAUGCAGGUGCUGCUGGAAUGAUUGCUACUUAGAAAUGGAAAGUUCACAAUUGGAAAGCUGAAAUCAUCUCUUUGUCGUAAAGUUUUGUUUUCAACCGACCCUCAUUGUCAAUUUUUAGAUGUAAGUCAAGAUAUGAGGCCGACUUAAUUGUAUCCGUACUAUCCUUUAUCUCUAGCUCGAUUGGAUAGAUGCGUUCCACAUAGUCACCAAAUUUUGAAUUAUUUAGUGAAAGAACAUCAUCUAUAUAGCGAAAAGUAUAGUUAAAGGAUAUUGCUAACUUCUUACCUUUCUUCCUAAGAAGUUCCUGCAUGAAGUCAGCCUCAUAAUAAUAAAGAAACAAGUCGGCAAGUAGAGGGGCACAGUUUGUUCCCAUUGGAAUGCCGACAUUCUGUUGAAAAACACGUCCUCCGAACGUAAAAAAAUAUGUUGGCAAUCAAGAAAUCAAGCAUCUUGAUAAUAUCAGUCUCAGAGAAUUUUUUGUUCGAAUCAGAGUGAUCCUUUACAAAGUAGGAUUUAUCCCUCCCUAAGACAAGAUACUUGUAUCUACGUUGGCCAUUCUUUUUUACGAAGCAAAGCAAUACCAACUCUUUCAAUUUGUCUUUUAGUUUGGAAUGUGGAAUACUAGUGUACAGAGUAGAAAAGUCAAAUGUUUUAAUACUGUUACAAGAUGAAAGAGAGUUAGAUUGUAUGUUCUCUAAAAGAUCUUUGGAAUAUUUAAGUAUCCACAUCUGAUUCACGCCCUCUCUAGAAUAGGCAGUUUCACAAUAACUUUGAAGCCCGUCUUUGAUUGCUGAUAAAAAAAGAUGUUAAUAAUUUAGAAAGAGGUUUCGUGGAGCACUUGGAAGACCCAGCAAUAUACCGUUGUUUGUAAGGACAGUUAUGUAGUUUAGGUAUCCAAUACAGUGAUGGCAGAUCCAGUUCUUCAUCUUUGGUUGAAAUUCCACACAGAACAGACCUAUGAUUAUCCAGGAUUUCCUCUUUGGUAAGUGUCGUGAGGGUAUAUGUUGAGUUUCCAAGUGAAUUGUCAAUACCUAAUUCGUUUAUCAAGCUUUAUGUAAUGAUGUAAUACAAAAGAGUUGUUUGGGUUUAUCUGCGGCCAUAUUUGUCUGGAGGUAGUAUAGGUGUAUUGAACAGGGGUCAUAGAGACGUAGCAUGGCAUGUGACCAUUCAGUUCUUAUUUUGAUUUGUACAAGACCCACCAACCAUUCGGAAAGGUGUCUAUUCCUUCUCGGCUUAGUUGCUGCAUAAUCCUCAACGAAUCAUCAAAAUUUUAAAGUUGUAUUCCAAUGAGAUUUAGGCUCACGAUAUUUGGACUUUGAAAACAUUUCGUAGAGAAGUUUAUUAACAAUGUGAGGUCACCGGUAAUAGCGUGGCCAGCAGGAUUAUAUGUGAAUUGGGACCUAGCACAAUGCAAUCAGGAGGUUAGACUUAAGUCGUCAAUACGAGGCCUGCAAAAGGUUUUUAAUUGAAAAUUUUAGUUGCAAUAGGUUUGGUAUAGGUAAGAAAUGAUUGGUAAAGACUGGUUUUGAAAUAAGGAGGUAUUUCUAUUGAACUAAUUUAUGAUGAAGAUAUUGCCUAAGUGACGCCAUCGUACCUUGUUGCAAAGAAAGAUUAAGGAAAGAUCUUUUUCUUUUUCAUCUUUCCAAUGCGGACUGUUGAAAAGUUGUGACUUGCAAUAUCCGAAAUUAUAGCUGUAAUUUUGUAUUGGUUUGAAUGAGGUUUAUAACAUGAUUCUAAACUAAAUUGAAGAGGCUGUGCGGGAGUAUAAUGUUGAGCCACGCUUUUUAAAUGGGUCGUUGCUCUAUUCAUUGGUGUACAGUGCGUCGUUUUUUGCAUGCUAAGAACUCAUUGUUACAUUUUUUUAAGGUGAAACUCAAGCUCUAAAUUUUCAUCCUUAUUGAUUUUUUUGGCAUACAUGUACCAUUAUAAUUGCAUGUAUCGUUUAUUUAUUAUUAUCAUUAGAACUAUACAUAACUUAUUGAUUCUUAAAAUAUGAAUAUAAUUUUAGCUAUAUAUUUUACUAGUCUGCAGUAUAGAAGUAUCUAUUUACAUACUUUUAUUUCGGAUAACAGUUUUACUGUGAUGUCGAAAAAUAGACAAACUGCUGUGAAAAAAGGUAAAUAGUAUAAAGUAUGUCUUGGUAUGUUGUUGGGGUCGAUACAGUAUACAUUUUAUCCAUACUUACACUCAGGAGGUUGACCUCUUAUCCCAGGCACAGAUUACCUUAGCCGUAUUUGGCACAACGUUUUGGAAUGUUAGAUCCUCAAUGCUCUUCAACUUUGUCUUGUUUGGUUUAUGAUAUUUUGAUAUGACGUAUGAUGAGUCUUGUGUGACGAAACGCCGUCUCGCGUAUUAAUUUUAAUCCUGGUACCUUUGAUAACUAUAAAGAGACAACACCGCAUUAAAACAACAGAAGGUUACCAUUUUUCGAAAAACUAAUAUUUUUUUAUCCAUGCUAGAUUCCUAGCUGUUUUUGACAUGUUUGGAUUUUGGAUCCUCAAUGUUCUUCACUUUUACUGUUGGCUUAUUAUAUUUUGAUAUGAGCGUCCUGAUGAGUUUAUGAGACGAACGCGCGUCUAGCAUACUAAAUUAUAAUCCUGGUACCUUUGAUAACUAUUAGAACGUCCGUCCCAUGUAAUGUUUGUUGCUUGUUUUGUUCAUGCAUUUUUAAUAAGAGUUUCGGAAUGUAUCGGAUUUUCUAAAUGUCAGCAUGCAACCUUGUAAUACUAUUUCACAUUCAGAAAUAUAUACAUUAUCUCUAUUUCAAAUAGUUAAGUGGGGAUUUUAUUCGAUUUAUUUGUUAGCAGUAUCUCAAGUUAGAUCAGGUUUUCUGUAAAUUAAUAGAGUUUGUUGAAUAUAUACAUGUAUCAUUGAACCAUUUACGUACAUAUAGACUAUUAAAGUAACCCUUUGGAAACAAAAACUAUAGAUUGUAAACGUCCCCGUUCAGUUUUUAAAUUUUUGGAUUAUUGUCCUUCUUAUCAAAAUUACUGCGAGAUAUUACAUGCUUUGAUAUAUUCAUUUAAAGACCGUACGAAGAUGGUCAGUGAGUAAAUAACACAACAUGGACAGUUGUUUUGUUAAUGUCAUUCGUUGUGGUACGUGUAUGUUUAAUUUGUUUUUCGUUAACUGAUCUGUUAUAUAUAAACAAUGCAAUGCAUGGCUUGAAAACCAGGUUAAACCCACCAUUUGUUUCUUAAAAUGCCCUGUACCAAGACAGGAAAAUUGCCAUGGUUAUAUUAUAGUUCGUUUCUGUGUGUAUUACAUUUUGAUAUUAUGUUUCUGUUGUGUUGUGGUUCUCUUAUAUUUGAUGCGUUUCCCUCAGUUUUAGUUUGUGACUUAAAUUUGUUUUUCUCUAUCGAUUAAUGAAUUUCGAACAGCAGUAUACUACUGUUGUCCUUAUUGAUUUACUUUAUCAGUUAAUAUCCGUUUUUGUUAUCCAAAGUUGUCACGUUAUUGUAAUAGAUUCAGAACAACAAAUCUGAAGGAAAGCAUACAGCUACAGACAUCUGUAUAAUGUAUAUAUAUGUAACAUAACAGAAAUUAUUUGAAAUUCAUAUUAAAUUCAAUUUUAAUUAUUUAAUUGUGGUCUGGAGCAGGCAUAUCAGUAACUGAUAGUAGUCCUUUGAUAAUUUUUGUUUAUCAUUGAUAUUUAUUUUUUAACAUUGGACUUCUUUAAACUAAAAUUUACUGUGCGUAGUUCUAGUAUAAUGGAGAUCAAUAUCUUACAAAACAUUUUUAACCCCACCACAUUUUAUCGUCUGUCCCAGGAAUCCUGGCCUUUGUAAGUCUCGUUUUUUCUAUUUUGGUAUAAACAGCUUUUUUAUUUAGAAAAACAAAUACAUGAACACGUACAGCGAUACAAUGCAAGGACUUGAAAACAAGUGAAUAAAAUUGAGAAUGGAAAUGGGGAAUGUGUCAAUAAUGUGGUCAUUUUUAUAAAUUUCCUGUUUACAAAACUUUUAAUUUUUCGAAAAACUAAGGAUUUUUUUUUAUCCCAGCAUAGAUUAUUACGUAUUUGGCACAAAAUUUGGAAUUUUGGAUUCAUGUCUUUCACUUGUACUUGUUUGGCUAGAUAAAUAUUUGAUAUGACGUACUGAUGAGUCUUUGUGAGAACGCGCGUCUGGUACUAUUAUAAUCCUGGUCCCUUGAUAACUUCAAGAGCCACCGACAUAUAAAAGACCACAGAAGGUUCCAAUAGGUCUUAAAUGCAGGGGAAAUUCCGACCGAGAGUCUUCAGCUGGCCUUAAUAAAUAUACUAGUUCAGUGAUAAUGAACGCCAUACUAAACUCCAAAUUAAACACAAGAAAUUAAAGUUAAAAAUUAUACAAGAAUAAAUGUUUACAUUGAAACGGAAAUUGAUAUCUAAGAAGAAACUUACAUUAUAACAAUAGAUUACAUUAGGUGACUUUAGUUCAGACAUGUCGAUGUUUUAAUUUUACAGGUAUUGUACCAAAUAGGAGACCAACUCAAGAUGAAACUCUUGGUAAAUCUCAAGAAGACAGAAAAACAUCUUUACCUGAUAUCAUUUAUGGCACAGGUA